UCGGGAAUUUUGGGCAAUGGGCGAAAGCCUGACCCAGCAACGCCGCGUGAAGGAUGAAGUAUUUCGGUAUGUAAACUUCGAAAGAAUAGGAAGAAUAAAUGACGGUACUAUUUAUAAGGUCCGGCUAACUACGUGCCAGCAGCCGCGGUAAUACGUAGGGACCAAGCGUUGUUCGGAUUUACUGGGCGUAAAGGGCGCGUAGGCGGCAAUUCAAGUCAUCUGUGAAAUCUCCGGGCUUAACUCGGAACGGUCAGAUGAUACUGCUUUGCUAGAGUGCAGAAGGGGCAAUCGGAAUUCUUGGUGUAGCGGUGAAAUGCGUAGAUAUCAAGAGGAACACCUGAGGUGAAGACGGGUUGCUGGGCUGACACUGACGCUGAGGCGCGAAGGCCAGGGGAGCAAACGGGAUUAGAUACCCCCGUAGUCCCUGAGCGGGCUGGCAAGGCGCAU
rnacentral:rRNA from 1 species